rnacentral:lncRNA from 10 species
GAUCCCAGGCUGCUUCUGGACAGGCUCCAGACUCACUGGAGACAUCCUGACACAUAAUGCUUCGCCCAGCACAAUGCGAUGCCCUUUACCUAGUAAAAGGGUUGUCUGCCAACGCUAACUGGCCAGCUCUGACAGGAGGUGCGUGGCCCAGGAGGAGCCAUCAGGCCAGUUCUCUGGGAUACUGCUGUGUCUCCAGCUCUGCAGUUUGCUCUUCGUCACUCAGCGGCAGACGGAGAGGCAGACACGAGCCCCUUGUGAGCCCUCCUCCUUACCGUCAUCUCACAAUGCUCUGAAAUAAGGAGGCAAAUGGCUGAGGUCCCCUCAGUUGUGAGUAUCUUGCUUCCUUCCCCAAUGCCUCUUCAAACCACUUUGUCAAAAACAACAACAACAACAAAACAAAAACAAAAACAAACAGAUUCUUGUG